UGGGGAAUUUUGGACAAUGGGCGAAAGCCUGAUCCAGCAAUGCCGCGUGUGUGAAGAAGGCCUUCGGGUUGUAAAGCACUUUUGUCCGGAAAGAAAUCCUUGGCUCUAAUACAGUCGGGGGAUGACGGUACCGGAAGAAUAAGCACCGGCUAACUACGUGCCAGCAGCCGCGGUAAUACGUAGGGUGCAAGCGUUAAUCGGAAUUACUGGGCGUAAAGCGUGCGCAGGCGGUUUGCUAAGACCGAUGUGAAAUCCCCGGGCUCAACCUGGGAACUGCAUUGGUGACUGGCAGGCUAGAGUAUGGCAGAGGGGGGUAGAAUUCCACGUGUAGCAGUGAAAUGCGUAGAGAUGUGGAGGAAUACCGAUGGCGAAGGCAGCCCCCUGGGCCAAUACUGACGCUCAUGCACGAAAGCGUGGGGAGCAAACAGGAUUAGAUACCCUGGUAGUCCACGCCCUAAACGAUGUCAACUAGUUGUGGGGAUUUUAUUUCCUUAGUAACGUAGCUAACGCGUGAAGUUGACCGCCUGGGGAGUACGGUCGCAAGAUUAAAACUUAAAGGAAUUGACGGGGUCAUAGCUGUUUCCU
rnacentral:rRNA from 1 species